rnacentral:lncRNA from 1 species
GCGGAAUUUACAUCACUUUAAUUGAUAUAAUAAUAUCAUUCAUAAACAGAUAUGUAUGCACAAAAUUUACAAAUAUUUACAAAUCAAUGUAUAAUUAAUCUGUCUGCAUUCUCCCUAGUUACUUCACUUUCUUCCCUAUGGAAGAGAUUAACUUAUUUCUCAUCAUGUGCCCAAUGCCAGGGCUAUGUCCUGGCGUCGUAGGCCGGAAAUCUUCCAAGAAACUAGCCACGAGUUUCGCCUCCACCUCUUUAUCACCACGACGUGAUAAAGUUGAACGCCGUUUUAUCACGCUCUUGGCAUCUUUCAAUCGCCUCCCUUCUAGAACAAUUGUUUCUGAAAGGACAAUCAGUAUCAUCAGAAUACACAAAGUCUUUGCAAUUGUACCCAUGGGGGUGGGAGCGAUAUUAGAGAUCGAAACAAAGAGCUCUGGCUAGAUCAACAAAGAGAUCGAGCUCGACUAGCUAGCUAGAAAUUAACAUCGAAGAUUUAUAAGAAGAAAAGUGACCUAAUUAGACAUUAUUAUCCAAAAAAGAUGAUCAAUCCACUAAAUUGAAAUCAUGAAUCCCUUUUUAAGUGGGUAGUACUUAAAACAUUUGAGAACAAGAUCGACCUCUAGCGACAACAUAGUGGAGGAUCAAAAAAUAACAAUUCUUCUUCCUUUUUAGUAUAUUUUGAAUAGCAACCUAUUUAGUGCUUGCUUAAUUAAUUAAAGAACAUACAUGCAUUCCCUUUCUAUGUUAAUUUUUAUACCAACCAAGAGAUAAGAGUGUGCAAAUAUAUCUAAUCAAUUAAACCAAAUCCAAAUCCAAAUCUCUCUACAAAAUAAGAUAUUAUUUAUCAAUUAAGAUGGAGAGGUUGUCUCUUUUUUAUUUGAAAUUAAAUUAUCUACAAUAUAACACAAGGAGAUUAACUAAACUAAUCACAUUAACUAUGAAAGUUUCUAAAGAUUCAUGAUUCAUUAUCAAAAAAAAAUUAUCGCGAACCCAAUAGGUGCCAAGAAUAUCAUACAUUCGUAUGCCUAAAGCUCUAUUGGCGUGAACAACUAAUGGGUUAGCGAGAAAGAAGUUCAGAGAAACAGAGAAUGAGGCAAAUGGAAAAGAAAACCGACGACCGGAGGUGAGAGAAGGGGAUAACCAAGAUCAACAAUUAAUAGAGUCGACGCUCCAAAUAAUUGAGGACGGAGGUAGGAUUCGAUCAGCCAGAUCAAAACAUGGGACAAAAUCAUCUCCGACUACCGUGAUCACAAGAGGUAAGAAAAUGUCAAAAAAAUAAAUUGAAACAAAUGGCAAGGAGGGAGCCGGCAUGACAGAGCAGGUCGCGAAGAAAAUGUCGCGCAAAGGCAGGUCAGAUUACCUCAUAGAACCAGAAGACAACGAGAUUGAGGGAUCACCGAAAAGGCCAACCGACAGCUGGAUUUCUCAGAAGCAAUUGAUCAGGAAGGAGAAUCGGAGGGAGAAUAUGAGCACGGGAAAAUUAUUUGGGAGAGAUCACCAUUGGAGAAACCACAUGGCGAUGCUCACCAGUCAAAAGACCUCCGGCGAGCCAAAUUUGACCAAGACAUACAUUCCUAAAUAUGAAAGUGAACAAAUUGGACCAGGAUUAGUCAAACGGAUAGAAAUUUGACCAAGACUGGUCAAUUAAAGGGCGAUAUCAGUCAAAUAUCAAUCCCAAUUUUGACCGAGAUCGGUAAGAUGGGUCAAAUCUCCCCAACGACCAAGAGUCAAUUUGGAAAAAAUAUCCCAAAUUUGAUCAAGAUAAAUCAAACCCCCUAAUUUUGACAAAGAAUGAAAGUGGCCAAACCUCAAUUUUGACUGAGAUCUGUAAAUUCCCUCAAAGCAAGAUGGGUCAAAUCAGCCCAAUUUUAACCAAGGGGGAAUUCAGUCAAAUCGAACCAAGUUUGACGAAGAUUAGUCAAAUAAACCCAAUAUUGACCAAGAAAUUUGGUCAAAGAGUCCCAAUUUGGACCAACGUGGCCAAAACAAGGAAACGUGGUCAAAAAAGUGUAACGUUGACCAGAGAGGGGCGUCUCUUAACCUAUUUCGCUUUUAGUCAAAAUUGGAAUUUGACCAAGUCUGACCUUGGAUUAGUCCAAUCUUGUUGCAAAUCUAGUAUUUGACCAAGUGAAUUCCUCCUUGGUCAACGUUGCCCUGUUUUGACCCAUCGUUGCCUUGAGAGAAUUUACAAAUCUCAGUCAAAUUGGGGUUUGACCACUUUUAUUCUUUGUCAAAAUUAAGGGGUUUUGAUUUAUCUUGGUCAAAUUUGGGAUAUUUUUUCCAAAUUGAUUCUUGGUCGUUGGGGAGAUUUGACCCAUCUUACAUUGAGGAAUUUUACAGAUCUCGGUCAAAAUUGGGAUUGGUAUUUGACCGAUAUAGCCCUUUAAUUGACCAUUCUUGGUCAAAUUUCUAUCAUUUUGACUAAUCCACGUCCAAUUUGCACCAAUUUGUUCACUUUCAUAUUUGGGAAUGUAUAUCUUGGUCAAAUUUGGCUUGGUUUGACCAAUUUCACCCUUGGUUUGAGGGUUCUUGAUCAAAGUUGGGUCUAUUUUUACCAAGACUAAGUUUGUUUGGUUAAUUUGCAGAUAUCCCCAACCCACGUGUAUGUGCAUUGGGAUUAUUUUCCCAUUUUUAAUCCUAAAUUUUACAAGAUAUUUAUUUUUAUCCCUCCCACAUAGGCUAAUACUUAUUAUAUUGGGUGUAAUUGAUUUGACUAAUUGUUGGGUCAAUUGGUUGAUCCAUGAUCAGAUUCAUGGGCCUUAAAUAGUAGAUUGGGCUCAUUCAUUCUCCGUGUGCUGGUUUUGUUAAAAUUAAAGCUAGAUUCACUUAACCAAUUCACCAUAGAUUGGUUUAGUUUAGUUAUCCAGCCCAUGUACAUGCAAUUGGGUGAUUGUGUGUAAUUUUCUAUUUGAUUUGACAUAUUCUCACUUUUAAUAUUUUAUUGUUUUUGGCUUUUUUGUCUUUUUCCACUCCAAUUUUUGCAUAUUCCAUAGCUAACCCCCCACGUGCGAUUGUUUUUUGAAUCAUAUUUAUGUAACUACCCUCCAAGAAACAGUUUCUUGACCCACAUGCAGAUAUUUGCACUCUUACCCCCUAACUUUAUUUUUAUUACAUAAAUACCCACGUGCAGUUUGUUUAAAGUCUCUCACAUGCAAUUUUUCCCCAUUGAGUUUUUCCACAUGCAAUUUUUCAGUAAUUAUUUAAAAUUUUAAACUUAUUACCUUAAAACUAUUUGAGUAUUUUUUUAAUUUUAAGACGACUAAUUGAUUAAUUCCUAAUAUUAUCACUGAUUAUUAAGCUUAAUCCUUACCUCCCCCACCCCUGGUGGUUAAGUCAGGUGAGCUUUGAGCUCGCCGGAGGUCCUCCGACUGGUGAGCAUUGCCCUGUUGUUUCUCCAAUGAUGAUCUCUCCCAAAUAAUUUUCCCGUGCUCGUAUUCUCCCUCCGAUUCUCCUUCCUGGUCAAUUGCUUCUGAGAAAUCCAGGCUAUCAGAUGGACUUUCCGGUGAUCCCUCAAUCUCGCUGUCUUCUGGUUCUAUGAGGAAAUCUGACCUGCCUUUGCUCGAGAUUUUCUUCGCGACCUGCUCCGUCAUGCCUCCAUCUGCCUCCCUCCUUGCCAUCUGUUUCAAUUUAUUUUUUGACGUUUUCUUACCUCUUGCGAUCGCGGUAGCCGGAGAUGAUUUUGUCCCCUGUUUUGAUCUGGCUGAUCGAAUCCCACCUCUGUCCUCACUCCUCAAUUAUUUGGGGCGUCGACUCUAUUAAUUGUUGAUCUGGGUUAUCCCCUCCUCUCACCUCCAGUCGUCGGUCUUCUUUUCCAUCUGCCUCAUUCUCUGUUUUUCUGAACUUCUUUCUCGCUAACCCAUCAGUUCUUCUCGCUAACCCAUCAGUUCUCCAUCGCUAUCCCAAUAGGUGCCAAGAAUAUCAUACAUUCAUACGCCUAAGCUCUUCUCCACAGGCUUUUCGCAUGACCAUUAUGAAGGUAUAUUGCACGAGUUGCAACACUUAAUAGCUGAUAAUGGUUGCUGCAAGAUAAAAUGGUGCCUUGUUUUAUAUAUAGGAUUGUAGGUCGUCUCUGGGAAUUCAAAAUGUCGCCAAUCACUACUUGUGACGAGAGGCUUUCUUUAAGAACAUGGACUAUAGAGAUUCCAAGUCCUUUGUGAUCACCUGGAUUCGAAAUGUCAACCAAAUCAAUAGGUGCAUGAGAAACUUUUUCUAUGACCUAAGAAGAACAAAAUUAGGACUGAAACCAAAGACUACUGUCACCCAUUAAUCAUUAUCACCACAUAACAAAUUCUUUGAUUUUCUAAAUAUAAACCACAGUAAUAACACCACACUUUAAGGGUGCCAUGUUGUGACCCAUGGGUAAUGGGACCUGUUACCAUUUGGAAUUGUCUAUAGUAGGGGUGUAAACAGGAUGGGGCAGCCUAGAUCCAGACCCUACCUGUACGUAUUUAAGGAGAGGACACAGACCCGGUUAACCCGGGUCUGGAACGGGGCACAUAUGUACCCAAACACCUAUGUGCCUACCACGACCGCAUGGCCGUAUUAAAAAUUAUUUAACGCCAUAUAUUGCCAGUUAUUUGAAGAGCAAGCAAUAUUGCAUAAAGCUUCGACAAUACCUGGGUAAGUGGCAACAGAAUCCCUAACAUGCUUGUGAUGAUAAAUUGUCCGUAGUAACCCAAUACCUGAAGGUGAGUUCUCAUUAACGAGUCCACCCCACAUGUUUGGGAGUUUUAUCAACUGCAAAUGGUCUAAUGCUCUAACUGCAACUUUUUGCUUACCCCGUGUCAAUCUGAUCCUUAAAUGUUCAACUAGUGGAGAUAUUACUUCAGCAUAGCAGUAUCCCUUUUUGUUUCUCCUGCUAACUCAGUUAAUAACCAGUGACAAAUCUAGGAUUUUGUAGUAAAAAUUCAAAUUACCAGUCAAACAUAAAACUCUAUUGUAAUCAAAACAUUCUCUAAUGAAAUCAAAGAAUUCUAAUGAGAAUUAAGAACUAAAAAUUUAGGAAAUAAUACUGUAGACCUUUAAUUGAAGUAAAUAAAGUAAUUAGUUUAUAAUAAAAAAGAACUGAAGCAAAAUACUACAAAUACUAAGAAACGAUAAAAAAAUACCUUCUCAGGACUCAAAGAUAGGCAAGAGCCAAGAAUCCUUCUCACUGUAAAAUGAUAAUUGAAUAGUCGAUGAUCUUCUCACUAUAAAAUGACAAUUGAAUAGCCGAUGAUGUAAAUUAAAAUGAAGAAAAAUAAAAUUCGAGAGACAAGUAAAAUGCUGUAGAUUGAGUCACUGAUGAUAUAUAAUGACAAUUGAAAAAUAAAUACCUCCUCAAUUCUCACUGUAGACGGAAAGAUGAGACAAGAAGAAUAACUGCGUACAUAAAAUACAUUGAAUAGACACAAAAAACAGUGAAAAAUCGAAGAACUCAGGGAUAAUCUGCAGAAGGGGCGAACUUUCUUGGAAGGUUGGCUGUUGGGAUUUAGGGUUCUUCUUCGCGCCAUAUCGAUUGGGAGAAGAAAGGGAUUUACGAAUUACGAUUUAGGGAUUGGGGUAUUCUUUAUAAGUACAAUAUACAUAACACCCCUGACUAUUUAUAAUAUCUCAUCAAU